GGAAUAUUGGGCAAUGGGCGCAAGCCUGACCCAGCAACGCCGCGUGAAGGAAGAAGGUUUUCGGAUUGUAAACUUCUGUCCUAUGUGAAGAGGAAGAGACGGUAGCAUAGGAGGAAGCCCCGGCUAACUACGUGCCAGCAGCCGCGGUAAUACGUAGGGGGCGAGCGUUGUCCGGAAUGAUUGGGCGUAAAGGGCGCGUAGGCGGCCUGUUAAGUCUGGAGUGAAAGUCCUGUUUUCAAGAUGGGAAUUGCUUUGGAUACUGAUGGGCUUGAGUGCAGGAGUGGUUAUCGGAAUUCCCGGUGUAGCGGUGAAAUGCGUAGAGAUCGGGAGGAACACCAGUGGCGAAGGCGGGUAACUGGACUGCAACUGACGCUGAGGCGCGAAAGUGUGGGGAGCAAACA
rnacentral:rRNA from 1 species